rnacentral:rRNA from 1 species
GAUGAACGCUGGCGGCGUGCCUAAUACAUGCAAGUCGAGCGAACAGACGAGGAGCUUGCUCCUCUGACGUUAGCGGCGGACGGGUGAGUAACACGUGGAUAACCUACCUAUAAGACUGGGAUAACUUCGGGAAACCGGAGCUAAUACCGGAUAAUAUCUUGAACCGCAUGGUUCAAUAGUGAAAGACGGUUUUGCUGUCACUUCUAGAUGGAUCCGCGCCGCAUUAGCUAGUUGGUAAGGUAACGGCUUACCAAGGCAACGAUGCGUAGCCGACCUGAGAGGGUGAUCGGCCACACUGGAACUGAGACACGGUCCAGACUCCUACGGGAGGCAGCAGUAGGGAAUCUUCCGCAAUGGGCGAAAGCUUGACGGAGCAACGCCGCGUGAGUGAUGAAGGUCUUCGGAUCGUAAAACUCUGUUAUUAGGGAAGAACAAAUGUGUAAGUAACUAUGCACGUCUUGACGGUACCUAAUCAGAAAGCCACGGCUAACUACGUG